UGGAAUGGAGAUGGGAAAAAAUGCAUUCUACCAUUUGAUAGCCCAGAAUGAAUAACUUUAAGAAAAGGCAGUGAAAUAACUUUUAUGAAGAUAUGCUAAACUGGAUAAAGGAUUUAACAUAAGACGGAGCCAGAAAUAGUGACAAAACAAAGUGUAGCAGAAAACAAAAGGAACACUCUUGUGAAUAAAAACCAUGUUGGAAUACAGAACUAGAAAAAUAGCUGUAUAAAAUGAAAUAUCAAUGCCUUCAUACAGAGCUUGGAUAUUGCAACAUAAACUGUAAUGAUAUUAUACAAAUGGGAUAAAUGAAUUAUCAUGAAUAGACUUUAUAAUUUUCAUUCUAGAUCUGAUUUAGCAACGUAUAGAUACAAAAAAGAUUUUUUAAACUUUGCUGGUUGUCUAGCUAAUAAUAAAUUAUAUUUAAUCAUA